ensembl:snRNA U4 U4 spliceosomal RNA
AGCUUUGUGCAGUAGCAGUGUCACAGCCAGUGAAGUUUAUCUGAGGUGAUUAUUGCUAAUUGAAAAAUCCUGCCUUCCAGGAACUAUUCUAGUUAAGGAAGACAGAUGAGAGGAAAAGAAGGAAAACAUUUUAUAUGU